UGCCUCUAAGAGGGGAAUAACAUUCUGAAAAGAAUGCUAAUACCGCAUAAUAUAUAUUUAUCGCAUGGUAGAUAUAUCAAAGAUUUAUCGCUUAGAGAUGGACUCGCGUCCGAUUAGUUAGUUGGUGAGGUAACGGCUCACCAAGACCGCGAUCGGUAGCCGGACUGAGAGGUUGAACGGCCACAUUGGGACUGAGACACGGCCCAGACUCCUACGGGAGGCAGCAGUGGGGGAUAUUGCGCAAUGGGGGAAACCCUGACGCAGCAACGCCGCGUGAAGGAUGAAGGUCUUCGGAUUGUAAACUUCUUUUAUUAAGGACGAAGAAAGUGACGGUACUUAAUGAAUAAGCUCCGGCUAACUACGUGCCAGCAGCCGCGGUAAUACGUAGGGAGCAAGCGUUGUCCGGAUUUACUGGGUGUAAAGGGUGCGUAGGCGGCUUUGCAAGUCAGAUGUGAAAUCUAUGGGCUCAACCCAUAGCCUGCAUUUGAAACUGCAGAGCUUGAGUGAAGUAGAGGCAGGCGGAAUUCCCCGUGUAGCGGUGAAAUGCGUAGAGAUGGGGAGGAACACCAGUGGCGAAGGCGGCCUGCUGGGCUUUAACUGACGCUGAGGCACGAAAGCGUGGGUAGCAAACAGGAUUAGAUACCCUGGUAGUCCACGCUGUAAACGAUGAUUACUAGGUGUGGGGGGUCUGACCCCUUCCGUGCCGGAG
rnacentral:rRNA from 1 species